rnacentral:rRNA from 1 species
UACCAGCACCCCGAGUGGUCGGGACGAUUAUUGGGCCUAAAGCAUCCGUAGCCGGUUCUGCAAGUCCCCCGUUAAAUCCAGCUGCUCAACAGAUGGGCCGCGGAGGAUACUCCAGAGCUAGGAGGCAGGAGAGGCAAGCGGUACUCAGUGGGUAGGGGUAAAAUCCGUUGAUCCAUUGAAGACCACCAGUGGCGAAGGCGGCUUGCCAGAAUGCGCUCGACGGUGAGGGAUGAAAGCUGGGGGGAGCAAACCGGG